rnacentral:rRNA from 1 species
UACAGAGGUCUCAAGCGUUGUUCGGAUUCAUUGGGCGUAAAGGGUGCGUAGGCGGCGCGGUAAGUCGGGUGUGAAAUCUCGGAGCUUAACUCCGAAACUGCAUUCGAUACUGCCGUGCUUGAGGACUGGAGAGGAGACUGGAAUUUACGGUGUAGCGGUGAAAUGCGUAGAGAUCCGGAAGAACACCGGUGGCGAAGGCGGCCUGCUGGGCAGUAGCUGACGCUGAGGCGCGACAGCGUGGGGAGCAAACAGG